rnacentral:lncRNA from 1 species
GAGAAGACUUUGGCCAAUAAGGGAAUAGACCUUGAUGGCUAACUUUAGGAAUGAAAUCUAAUGGUUUUUAGCAAGGCAGAGGGAAUAGAGGAGUGGUUAAGACUGCGAGAGCCAUGCUUGUCAUGCUCUUGCCUACUGGAGUUCCUACACUGAGCUUCUGAGUUGGUGUUACAGUGGUGCCUGACAUCAGUGAGAGCACAGCCCACCUGAUCCUAGCGUUUCAGUCCUUUCUUCACCCCUCGUCUUCCUGGUUAGGUUGCCCCUGAAGCUGCUCUGAGUGCAGUUUCUCUUUAUCAACUCCAGUUGAGAAACAAGAUCAGACAGCACAUUAUGCACAACACGACGGCCUUCAAGAACAGUGCAAGCCAUAGCUACUACAUUAAGUUUUUCCUGUUAAAUCUCAUUAGGAACAAAACAAAUCUCCCGCCAAUGCUGUCAUUGGUGAUUUAGUUAUAAACAGCAGUUUUGCGAACAUGACAAUAUAAAAGAAACAUUCUUGGUCCCCCCCCCCCACUGUAGCAGGUUCCUUCUGCAGGGAACAUUAUAUGAUUUAUUAAUGUGCUUUUAUUUUCCUUUAUGUCAUUUCACAGAUCAUGAUGCUGUGCUCCCAUUUAUGCAUUUAGAUGCAUUAAUGCAUAGAGCCAUAUAUACAUUCAUUCCUCAUAACACAUAAUACUAAGAAAGUGCUUUAGAGUGCUUAUGCCAUUUAUUAGAGGAAGGAGCUCAGUCUUUUAAUCCUUCUCUUGUUAUAUUCAUUACUUCUUGACACAUUUCCGGUUUUCCUCGUGCCCUCUUGUGGUUCUGGACCUACUAUUGUAUUAUUAGAUAAUUAUGACUCCUGGAUAUCCCUCUUUCUCCUCCUC